rnacentral:rRNA from 1 species
AUGAACGCUGGCGGCGUGCCUAAUACAUGCAAGUCGAGCGAACAGAUGAGGAGCUUGCUCCUCUGACGUUAGCGGCGGACGGGUGAGUAACACGUGGAUAACCUACCUAUAAGACUGGGAUAACUUCGGGAAACCGGAGCUAAUACCGGAUAAUAUAUUGAACCGCAUGGUUCAAUAGUGAAAGACGGUUUUGCUGUCACUUAUAGAUGGAUCCGCGCCGCAUUAGCUAGUUGGUAAGGUAACGGCUUACCAAGGCAACGAUGCGUAGCCGACCUGAGAGGGUGAUCGGCCAAACUGGAACUGAGACACGGUCCAGACUCCUAAGGGAGGCAGGAGUAGGGAAUCUUCCGCAAUGGGCGAAAGCCUGACGGAGCAACGCCGCGUGAGUGAUGAAGGUCUUCGGAUCGUAAAACUCUGUUAUUAGGGAAGAACAAAUGUGUAAGUAACUAUGCACGUCUUGACGGUACCUAAUCAGAAAGCCACGGCUAACUACGU